ensembl:ncRNA T24D8.14 ncRNA
ACUGCCAUGUUGUCUAAACGUGCCCCUGUGUGCUGUUGCCGAGCCCUUCGUUUCCAUAGGGAUUUUCGUUCAUCCCUUGGAAAAAUGAAGCCUGCUGGACUAUUCCUUCGUUGUAAGUUUUUUUUUUAGACUACAAAGCAAAAUGGUUCAAAAAACGUUCGGGCUUCCAUCUCUUUCCCAGCCUACAUCUCA